rnacentral:rRNA from 1 species
UGACACCAGGUUAGGUAGGAUUUCCUACUAAGUUCAAGCAUAUCAAUAAGUAAAGGAAAAGAAACUUUCUAAGAUUCCCUUAGUAAUGGUGAGCGAACUAGGAAAAGCCCAGUUUGAGAAUCGAGUGCCCUUGACAUCUAAAUUAUAGUAUGAAGAAGCAUCCUCAAUAGUGGACCAGGCCUAAGUCCCCUAGAAAGGGGCACCAAAGAGGGUGAGAGCCCCUUUGUGCCAAACCCUAUCACACCAUAAGGCACUAUCUAUGGGUCGGGUUGUUUGGGAAUACAACCUUAAUCGGGUGGUAAAUUCCAUCUAAGGCUAAAUACAAGUAAAAGACCAAUAGCAAAGAAGUACCACGAGGGAAAGAUGAAAAAGACUUUGAAAAGAUAGUUAAUGAGUGCUUGAAAUUGUCAGGAGGGUAGUGGAUGGGGCCAACAAUGUGCCCUAGUCAAAUAAGGAAUAGCGAGAGCUAGUCCAUCGAUCAAUUUGGGGUGUGCACUGAUAAGGGUUGCAACAGUGGCACAAGGUCAAGUUUUUGAUAUGCCCAUGGAGAUGUCAUCACCAUAAUAUGAAAUAUAGCAUGCACCAUUUUAGCAUGCCUCAGCACUGGUAUGCUCCUGACAUCAACUUGCAAGCUCCCGAUCUUGCCCAUCUUGAAAGAUGGACCAAAGAGUCUUGCAUGUGUGCAAGUUAAUGGGCUAGAAAACUCAUAUGGUGUAAGGAAUCUAAUUGGCAAGAUCCCUCAUGGGUGCACCGCCGAUCGACCUUAAUCUUUUGAGAAGGGUUUGAGUGUAAGCAUGCCUGUUAGGAUCCAAAAGAUGGUGAACUAUGCCUAAGUGGGGCAAAGCCAUAAGAAACCCUAGUGGAGGCCUACAGUCAUACUGACAUGCAAAUCAUUUACUAACUUUGGUAUAGGGGUGAAAGACUAAUCAAACAUCUAGUAGCUAGUUCCUUCUAAAGUUUCCCCCAGGAUAGCUAGAGCCCUUAGCAAGUUCUAUAGGGUAAAACCAAUGAUUAGAGGCAUCAAUUGUGCAAUGCCCUUGACCUAUUCUCAAACCUUAAAUAGGUAAAGUGAUAAGACUAUUUCAUUGAGCCAUGCCAUGGAAUUGAAAGCUCUAAGUGAGCCAUUUUUGGUAAGUAGAACUAACAAUGUAGGAUGAACAGGAAGUUAGGUUAUAGUGCCUAACUAUACGCUAACCUAGAACCACAAAGGGUGUUGGUCAAUUAAGACAAUAAAAUGGUGGUCAUGAAAGUCAAAAUCUACUAAGGAGUGUGUAACAACUCACUUGCCAAAUCAACUACUCUAAAAAAUAGAUAGCACUUAAAUGCAUGACCUAUACCCGACUGUUAGGGCAAGGGCCAAGCUUCGAUGAGUAGGAAGGUGUGGCAGUCAUUACAAAAACUAAGGCAUGAGCCCAGGCAAAGCAACCAUUGGCGCAGUUUUUAGUGGUAGUAGCAAAUAUUCAAAUAAGAACUUUGAAAGCCAAAGAGGGGAAAGAUUCCAUGUGAACGACACUUGCACAUAGGAUAGUUGAUCCUAAGAGGCGGGGGAAGCCCAUCUGAUAACACAUCCAACUCAAGCUUUUAAAAGGAAGUAGGUUAAAAUUCCUAAACCAGGAUGCGGUGAUUGAUGGCAAUGUUAAGGAGUUUGAAGACAUCGGUAGAGGCCUAAAAAAAGUUAUCUUUUCGAUUUAACAACCUGCAUACACUAGAAAUGGCUCAGCUUGAGGUAGGGUCUAGUGGUCAGAAGAGCAUUAUACGUCGCAUGGUGUCUGGUGCACCCCCAAUGGCCCUUAAAGAUUCGGAGGGCCAAGUGCCACCCACAUCUAGUCAUACUCACACCAUAUUAGGUCUCCAACGUGAAUAGCCUCUGGUUGAUGGAACAAUAUAGGCAUGAAAGUAGGCAAAAUGGAUCUAAAACCUUAAGAAAAGGAUUGACUCUGAGGGCUGGGGUGGUUGUCCUAGUCUCAAACCCGUCAACUGCCAUUCCACUGCUCAAGUUGCUUUUGUGGUGAGAAUGGUUCACCAUAUGCCAAUUGGGGGAUAGACUGGAAAUGGCUCCCUUUGGGGCCUUCCUUGGAUGAUGAACACUUGACUUGAAACUGGAACAAACAAGGAGAAUUUGACUAUUUAAACAAAGCACUGUAAUGGUCCCUAUAGAUGCUCACUAAUGUGAUUUCUACCUAGUGCUCUAAAUGUCAAAGUGAAAAGGUUCAACCAAGCAUGGAUAAAUGGCAAGAGUAAUUAUGACUCUCUCAAAGUAGCCAAAUGCCUCGUCAUCUAAUUAGUGACGCACAUGAAUGGAUUAACGAGAUUUCCACUAUCCCUAUCUACUAUCUAGUGAAACCAUAACCAAGGGAACGGGUUUGGCAAAUUAGUAGGGAAAAAAGACCUUGUUGAGCUUGACUCUAGUCUAACUUUGUGAAAUGAAUUGAGAGGUGUAUGAUAAAUGGGAGCCCUAGGAAGAAAUUGAAAUACCACUACUUUUAGCAUUAGUUUACUUGUUUCAUGAAUCAGAGGUAGGGCAUGACCCCUUCUUUUGGACCCAAGGCCGACCUUGGUUGGUUAAUCUGGGUGGAAGACAUUGUCAGGUGGGGAGUAUGGCUGGGUAGCACUUUUGUUAAAAGAUAACAAAGGUGUCCUAAGAUGAGCUCAAUGAGAAUAGGAAUCUCAUGGGGAAUAAAAAGGUAAAAGCUCAUUUGAUUCUGAUUUCUAGUACGAAUACAAACUGUGAAAGCAUGGCCAAUCAAUCUUUUAGACCUUUGGAAUUUAAAGCUAGAGGUGUCAAAAAAGUUACUAUAGCGAUAACUGGCUUAUGGUAGCCAAGCGUUCAUAGCAACAUUGCUUUGUGAUUCUUAGAUGUCGACUCUUCCUAUCAUUGUGAAACAAAAUUCACUAAGUGUUGAAUUGAUCACUCACCAAUUGGGAACAUGAGUUGGGUUUAGACCAUCAUGAGAUAGGUUAGUUUUACCCUACUAAUGGCAGUUUUGCAAUAGUAAUUCAACCUAGUGAGAGAGGAACCAUUGAUUUACACAAUUAGUCAUCAUGCUUGGUUAAAAAGCUAGUGGUGCAAAGCUACCAGGCAUUGGAUUAUGAUUGAAUACCUUUAAGUCAGAAUCUAUACUAGAAGCAACGUACGCCGCCAUUGCCCAAUUGUUGACCUAUAAGUAGGGGCCCAUGGCCCCCAAGGGCAUGUGCCACAAGUGCAGCCCCUAUGGCAGACAAGCCAUGUGAGCCUCCUUGGAGCUUAAGUCCCAUCGAG